rnacentral:lncRNA from 1 species
AUGCCGCCUGGUCAGCACGGCGCCCGGCUCCGCAGGGCAUGCGGCUUCCACACCUUCGUGGCGGCCCCGUCUCUCACCUCCUGCCGGGUGACAGCCGCCUGCAUUCCAGAGUCUUGGGUUAGAUUUGGUAAGCUGGUUUCCAGCCCGCCCGGAAGCGUAAUCAUACGUCACCCCAACGUGCUCGCAGGGUUGUCACGGUGCGUGCUCGCCAACGGCAAAUCCCAGACGGAUAAAAUCAAGGGAAGAGACCGGGUCUGUCAUGACCUCUUUCCGGUGACAUCCUUUCCUUCUUGGAAGUUCCUCUCGGCUUCUGAUUUACUUCCUUCGCCCACAUCCCUCGUCCCUCACUGGAUGGCCCGACAGCCGCCUCGGUGCGAGGAUCUGGGUCUCCGCUGUUGUGCCCCUGUCACUUUGGGUGCGGAGUGCCGAGCCCGGCCGCGGGCCAGGAAAACCGUGGUCUUGCCUCCCAGUCAUUUGGGGUCCAGCUGUUCUCACACGAUGACGGGGAGGAGGAACCAUCGGGGGAUGAGGACUUGGAACAAAUCCGUGUGGGUCUCCUCCUCCAGGCUCCCACGCCCCGGGUCAGGGACAGAGGCCUCCUCCUUCCAGGUGUCACCUCCCCUUUCUGCUGUGAAGCUUGGAGCCACCUCUGGUGGUGCAGAGACCAGUCUGUACGUGCCGACGGGACGUUCUGAAGCACUCGGGGCAACGUCCCAGCGCAGCGCUCCCUGCCUGUCUCAGCCCGCCCCGGGCGGUGGGGCCCCGCCAGCGCCUCCGUGAGAGCCUAGUGACUCUGACUCCCUGGAAUCCGGGGCCCGGGAACGCUCCCUCCCUGCAACAGGGAGAGGACUGAGAACACGGCGGAACAGGUGCAGCCGCUUCCGGAAGCCCAGAGGGCCUCCCUUCGAGGAGCUUUCUGCGCAGAACCCUGGCUGAAUGUUCCAGGCCGAGUCUCCUCACACCAGGCCCCGCUUGUCUGUUGGUAGAGGUGCCUCUCACACGGGGCACGGAUGGUGUCUUCCCCCGCUCAGCCUCAGAAUGCCUGUCACCAAAUCUACACUCACACAGCUUCUCGAGAAUCCACAAGCCCGGGGCAGCACGAAGCCGCGUGUGGAAAUAACCGAGUGUGCGGGGCAGAGGCUGACCCAGCCGCGAGCCGCGCGGGAACUUGACUCACAGAGCAGCUAGCUUCUUACCGAAAAGCAGCGGUUUUCAGCUGGGAGAUCGGGAGCUCUUGGGGGAGGGUGGCCUGGGAACGGGCCUUUUCCAAAGCUCCCAGGUGAUCCGCGUGGUCCGAGAACCACUGCUUUGAAGCGUCGACGUCGAGGUGGCCGGUCGUGUCCGUCCGGAGAGGCCGGGUCCUGCUGCGGCGGCUAAUUUGUCCCAGAUCACAGCAGAGGGCUUUCGGCCACGCUGCCCGUGGCUUUCGGCCACGCUGCCCCACGCAGGAGGCGAGCAGCGGUGCCUCCUUCUUCUGAGAGGGCUCCAUGUUGGCACAGGGCCUCCUUGGCUGCAGGGGACGGUGCCCCAAAGUCACGCCGGGCUCUUCUGUGUUUGGGGCCGGAAGUGGCCUGUGUCACUCCCCCGCGGCCCCCACAGAGCUGGUCAGGCAGCCUCCCCCCACCCCUGCGGCAGGGAAGCUGGGGGCCGGGCAGGGGGCUGGGAUGUUGACAAGCAGCCCCUUGGAGUUCAGGCCCCCGUCACCCCCUCGGGGGCCCAGAGCUGCGUGCCGUGUGGUAACUUUCUGGCUUCCUCACGUUCCGCUGAAGUUUCACGAAAC